AUGGAAGGGAAAAGACGGGGUGAAAAACACAAAACUUUGUGCCUAAAAACAUCCAGAAACACAUAUAGUCUCCCCCGGUCCUCCGCCUCGUCGCAGGGGCUCAGCGCGCCCAUCCCAGACGUGGUCCUCCCCACUCGGCGCCCGGCUCCUCCAGCACGCACCCCAAAUCUCUGCGUUGCCCGCAAAAACGCAGCCCAGAUCCGAGACGCGCCCGACGUCCGGGCCGCCGGGCCCCCGCGCCGCAGACCAGGCCCGCGGGAGCGACCCGGGCGGCCCCGCGCGGAGCCCGGCGCCGAGCUGUGCCCAGGACCGCGCCGCCCCGUGCGCGGUGCCCGCGGCCGGAGCCGCCAGCGGCGGCGGGAGGGCUCGGCUCGCGCGGGCUUCCCGGCAAGUCGCCGUUCAGGCACCACUUUCUCCACUCCUGCUGCCGGCGGCCGCGGCGGCGGGAGCAAAAGCGCCGUUCCCACCCACUCCCAGCAUCCAACACCGUCCCGGGGACGCUCCCCUUCCCUCCGCGCGGGUCCGGGGGCGCCGGAGCGAGGCGCCCGCGCCCCCCGCCGCGCACCAGCCCGGGCUCCGCCGGCCGCGCCGAGCGCUCCCCACCUGGCCGCGACGGCCGGCUCCCCCGCCAGGCGCGCGCGGGGCCCCGCGGCUCCAACUCACCGGCUCCGCGCCCGCAGCCUCCCCAAGCCUGGGCUUCCCGCGACGCCUGCUGCAGCCACCUCGUCUCUCGCCCGCCGGCCGCCGGGAGGGAGGAGGAGGAGGAGGAGGAGAGAGGGAGGGAGGAGGCGGCGAGGGGAGGGGGCGGCGGGGAGGGAGAGGGUCCCGGGUGGGGGAGGAGGGGCGAGCGCGGGCCGCGGCCACAGGGCUAGCGCGCGGGGAGGGCGCCGAGGGGCGGGGGCGGAGAGGGGGAGCACCCGCCGCGCCGGCCUGCCCGCGCCCCCGCCCCGCGCCGCCGCCCAGUCACCAUCGCCGCCUCCGUCCCGCUCGGGGCCCGGCGUCCGGGGGGAGGGUCGGGCGCGGGGUCCCCCGGCGCGGCGAGCGGGGCGGGCCGGCGGGCGGACGAGGCCCGGCCUCCGGAGGGGAGGGUCCUGCGGGCCCGGCGGGUGUUGGCGAAAGGGGAUCCCCGGGAGGAGGGGUGGAGGCCGGGGCCUGGGAGCCGCUCGCUGCGCCCGCCCGGCGGCGGCGCCUCCCGGAUCCAGCAAGGGUCCCCUGGCCGCGCCGGGAACCUCCGGGACGGGUGUCUCCGGAGCGCCGAGAGCGCGCACGGCCGGCGGGGUGGCGGGAGCGGCGAAGUCGGAGUCGGAGGGAGAGGCCCGGCUCCUCGGGCGGAGCGCGGGCCCCGGAGCGGUUCCCCAGGCCGGGCCCGAGCGCGACAACGUCCGCCCGGUGGGCCCAGGGAAUCCAGAGCCGGCGGUGGGCUGGGGUGCCUGCACCCCCAUCCUCGCCUUCCUGUCCCGGAGAGGAGCCUCCGGCAUAAGUUUCCCUGUGCCGUGGGUCUCCAGGUGA
rnacentral:lncRNA from 1 species